CGCAUGCUCUCUGGGAAAACAUGGCGGGAGCCUGUCGGAGGUUUGCUACCUUUUCACAGCAACAAGCAGUGAGAUUGGCUAGCGGGAGGCAGGUCAUCUCUUAGGAUUUUCGGGAUAUGAUCCCCACUCUCCCUGAAGAAUGACACCACGUCCAUGAAGAAGCAUCUAAAGACCCCUCCCCAAGCAACUCCAAGGAGGUUUUCAGAUUUCUUCGAAGCUCCAUUAGAAUGGGUAGGAGCACGAAAGCCGAGCAAGACAGUGUCUCAGCCCAAGCAACCCAAAGCCAUCAGGAAUAAACCUGUAGUCCUGCAAAAUCAGGGUGCCUGGUGACUCAUUCGGUUAAGCGUCUGCCUUUGGCUCAGGUCAUGAUUAUCUGGCUCACUGCUCAGCGGGGAGUCUGUUUCUCCCUCUCCCUGUGCCCCUCCUCCCCCUCGUGCUCUCUCUCUCAAAUAAAAUCUUACAAAAAGAAACUUUCAUUCUGAGAGUCCUUGAUUUUAGAGAACAAAGUUUCUACAUGAGUAAGAAAGUGGUAGUGCUCAAAGAAGAAGGUUAUUAUGACACUGUACAGAUGUAGUAUUGGUUGGCAGACAUAAUGUUUCUUUUUAACUUUAUAAUAGUCUUUAUUUGUAUCUUUUUUUUUCUGCCUAAAGGAAGAGCCAUGCAGAUUUUACUUUUCUCAGUCAGAGCUAAUGUUUAGGUCACAGAAAUGCUGAUGAGACAUAUAGAAGGAAAGAACUCUGAAGGUUUUAUCAAUGGCGAAGUUUUAGAUCUUUUAUAUUGUAGAGCAGAAGGUAAGGUCACAAACCACGGGUGAUGGCGUAUUCUGAAAGAUGAAAGAUGCCCAUGAGGAAGACAUUGGCCUAUUAAAUCAUGGGGACCUUAGUAAGAGCAAAUGAAGGGUUUGUUGUUGUUGUUGUUGUUGUUGUUUUAGCAACCCAUUAGUUGCCUCACUUCCAGCUACCAGUUCCCAAAGAGGUGAUGGACUCUGACAUGGGUCAGGACUACUGGGAUGUAGCACCCAGCUCUUCAGCAGUACAAGUUUGUCCAGUACUCCAAAUGCCUGGAUGGGGUAUUUUGUGGUCUGUUUUUUGUGUUUAGCAACUAAAGAGGUAGUGUUGGGUUCUGUGCUUUCAAAAGAUUGGUCCAGUGUCAAGAAAAUACUUGGGAAAUACAGCAGAUCUAAGGAACGUGGUAAGGCCACAGCAAAUGUGAAGGCUUCUGUUGCCUUUAAGUAUAAGUAGUUGACAGAAAGAAAUCAUCAUGCCCUAAAAUAAAUAAUUAAACUCCUUAUUCUCCGUGGAAGACAGAAUAUUCCUUUGCAUGGAAAGCUCACUAACACUAAGAUUAUAUAUACAUUCUCACAUUAUAUUACAGAACUGGACCCACUGUUAAAAGAAAAUGUUAGCUAUGUACUCUGGAAACAGCUGAACACUUGUAAAAUGAACUGGUCAAGCUAAUGGGCCCCUCAAUCCAGAACAAGCUCCAGGAACGGGUAAAAGCAGAUACAUUUUUUAGUGUAAUCAUAGAUAGCACUGGUAUCUCUCCCAAAGGAAGUCUCCCCCUCUUUGUGUGCUGUUUUCACCAGAGUGCAGAAGGUAAGGUGGAACUUUGUUAAGAUCUGAUUGAUUUUGUGGAGGCUGUUGACAUGACUGAGAAUCUCUUCCAGAGAAUAGCAGUCUGGGGUUUACCAGAGGAGCUCCUGCGGGGUUUCAUUUUUCCAUCAAUGAGCAGCUGGCAAGGAUUUCUGACAGCUUUCCCGAGGUCUUGUUCUUGACCUCUAAGAUGUGGGAGAUGGCUUCAGCUAUUAUAUGGUCCUAUGCAGUGGAGCCAGUUACCAAGCUUCUAGAUAGUGUAGGCAAAGUCAUGGACUUCCAAAGGCACUCUCAGAACACUUCACCACUUGGCUGGGAUUGCUGCAGGCAUUCCUGAACGAGGAGGGGGAACGAGGAGGAAGAAGAGUGGGAGAAAAGCAUCAGAGAAAAAUGCCAGGUGGGGCAGACUCUCAGAGUCUGAGCCUUUUCACAGUGGAGUAUACAAUCACCAUCAAAGUUUUCCAGGAAAUAGGCACCUACAGGGGUGCUGAGAGGCCGUUUUUAUUCUAUCAGCAAGUUUGACUUUACGGUGAUGACGCUGUGUGUUGAGUACAUCUUCAUAUACUAAAUCCUUGCCUCAGGCUGGAUUGGCUGAGGCAGGCUGAUACUGACCCCAUUCACUUGUCUGACGAAGCCAACAUUGUCAUCCAGAGGUUCCUGAAGAUGAGGGGCAGUGGGACCCAGGCUUUGUGCCCAGGUACAAUGAAGUAAAGCACGAGAAUUGAAGAAUAUCCUCACACUUUCACUUUCCCCCAUGAUGUGUGGCCAGCAAGUUUCCCCUAAUGUCUUCAUAGCCACAGGCCUCCAAGAGAACCACAGAAAGUCCUUGUUCAUUCCCCCUUCUGAACCAUGUCGUUUCUGAGGUGCAGGAGCAGCUGUUGAAAUGCUUGCUGGGAUUCAUUGCUCAGUACCUCAUCCCGCACCAUCUGCAUCUGCUGGAGAAUGAUGAGCCUGAGGUGGCACUGUAUGAGGCAUUCAAGGGAGAUGGUCCCUACCUGGACUGGUUGUAGAGCAGAGCUGUAGAGGUAGAUGGCUGAAUGGAUGGAUGUUCCUAGGCAGGGGCAGCCAUAUAAUAUCCUUGCUGCCAUACACUUGAACUUCAUUUCCUACCCCAGCAUCAGUACAUCCACUAUGCUGGCCACUAUGCCUAUUCAUGUCCAAUUUGCAGCAGGAGAGAAUCUGAAUCUGAUGAGGCACUCUGGAAGGGAGGAAAGGCUUGUUUGGCCUGGCCCUGACAUGAAUUCCUCAGGACAUCUGAUAGGCAUCAGGUCUUGGGUGAACUUGACCCAGAGUGGCCGGCAGGCUCUCGGGAUUGCUGAGCUUAUAACUGGUACUUGGAACUUGCCCCAGGGCACAUGUGUCUGCUGAACAUAUUUUUGAGUUUCGCUACUUGAUUUAUGUGAUUGUUUUAAAAAGGCUUUCCAGUGUAAAUGGAGCUUGCUCUUUUACUAGGGGAGGUAAAUCUUGUGAACUUUUAAUGUGGUCAGGUUGAAGGACAAUUGCAUAAAAAGCAAUCAGGCGUGCUCAAUAUAUUUAAAAUUUAAUCACCGUGGUUCAGUAAAGAAAAUAGAAUUACGUGUGGAGUUCUUAAAUGCAAGUGGCCUUGUAUGUUUUCUUUACCUACUGUUAUUAGAUUAAAAUUUUGCAGAGAAACCCUGGGUAGAAACGCAAGCACACUUUUUUUUUUUUUUUUUUUUUAAAGCAACA